rnacentral:lncRNA from 1 species
CCGGACCUCAAUUCAGGAAAUUGUGUGGUUGAGAGAGCAAAAGCCCGUCUUUUGUCAAGGAAGAUUGCACGAUCUCCAAUAUCUUCCAAUAAUUGAAGCUUGACAAGAUGAUGAUCGUUUAUGAAAUCAAACUUGAAUACAUCAAAACCUAGUGUCUUGUAGGGAAGCGAAUCAGGGUGUAUGUGUGGCACGCAGUGAACAUCCUGCACAAGGCUUGUUAAAACAAAAUGGAUAACAAGAAAAAGCUCUUGGCUUUGGUGGUCAUACACCAAGUAUGACUUAUUCUCCCAAUAAAUCGGUACAAUAGACCUCUUAAACCGACCUACCUUUUUUAGGGGAAAUCUCCUGCUUCCCAGAACCCCUGUCGGAUCCUCAUGAACCUCAUGAAAGUGAAACCUCUUAAUUGGAUCGCUAUGGAGAUCCCAAGCCUCAAGCUCAUCCGUAAUAGAGCUUAGUGUGUAAAAUAGUUUCUUUUCACUGUGGUAAACAAUUUGAUAGCAUUGUUUAAAGGGCGAAUCGAGGAGGAUCCAGCAGGACUUGGGAUGACCAUGUCGUAUUCUGCAGAAGGCGAGUUUAGGAGGAGAGCCAUAAGUGAUCACAGCUAUGCAGUCAUCAUCCAUAGGAGAUGACGAGAGAACAACAUCUUCGAGGAUGCAUUUGGAAAACAUUUGUGGGGACAUGGAGCUUUUUAUAAAGGGAAGGGUUUCAAUGGGUGGAAGAAUGAUUUUUUUGCCAGAGAGUGGGUUAAAUAGAAAAAACUGACAAUCUUUUCGUCGUAUAUAAGCCAUCCAUCCCAGAAACGGUGAUCCCAAGAACUGAGAGUAGGAAUCAGAUGGGUCCUGAGUACUUUCCACAGCCACCACUUUCACAUCAUUUUUGAACAUUCUGUAGAAUUUGUAGACGGAUGUGCUCUCCGGCGGCUGCAGCAUCAACCAAGGAAGUUGCACGCUUCUUCUAGCUAUUUCUUCUGUAUGAGUAGCAGUAGCAAAAGUAGUGCUGCCUCCGUUUGUACGAGAAUGACAUAGGAUCAAUGAAGAGGAGUUCAUUGAGGGACGAAAACCAAUUAAUCUCGCCAAAGAUGAAAUCAUUGGGGGGCGGAAACCAUUAGGUCUCGCCAAAGAUGAAUUCAUUGGGGGCCGAAAACCAUUAGAUGAAUUCUUAGGGGAGCAAACACCAACUGAUCUCGCAGAAGAUUCCUUUGAGGAGCAAAAACCAAUUAAUCGGCUAAAACCGACUGAUCUCGCCAUUGAUGGGAGGGCAAAUACCAUUAGAUCUCAGAAAAGGCGUUAACCAAAGCAGGAUGUAUUUAUAUGGCUGGAAGAGUCCAACACCCCUCUCGAUUUAGGUUUCGGAUUGCCGUCACUGGUUUUUACCAAAAAUAGCUUUGUAAUUUACUUGAAAUAACAAUAUUAAUAUUUUGUUUACCAAAUAUAUAUUUUUCUUUAAAACUAAAACCGCCCUUUCUUUUUUUUUUUUUAAAAAAAAAUAAUAACUAAAACUAAAACUGUUGAAAUAGUUUUUUUUUUUUUUUUUUUAAAUCAACUACAAUGUUAUUUACUUCUAAACUCAAAGACCUAAUAGUUAGGACCAAAUAAGACUCAAAGAGUCUUCACUGCAAUUUCUUUCAAAUGAUGAAAUUUUUUUUUGGAAUACUCUGACGUGAAAUUCAUGUACACUAUAUCUAUAAUUUAUAAUCUAUAUAUAUAUAAUUUAUAAUCUAUAAUGUAUAUGUAAGCCCCGUAAAAUCUUACGUUAAAUUCAGCUUGUUUAGCUUCUUAAAGCUCUUUAAAAGCUUCAACACUUAGAAAAUUUUGCUAAGUGAUCAAGACAUAGUCUUAUUUCAAGUCUCCGAACUUCAGGGAUUUAUUUGACAACUUUUACGACAUCCGUUUUUCGAUUUUCAAGUUGUGUUGCGAUGGAGCAAGGUCAUAGUACAUCCCGGGUAAGUUUUGGAAUUUUUGGAGUAGCAUAAGGGUACGUUUGGUGUGCCAAAACAGUAGCCUUUUGCCCAGUUUUCAGCAUUUCAGGCCACAAUUCAGGGUCAUCUUUCAACUAUCAUAACUUCCUGUAUAUAAUGAACUGGGAGAGAUACUAUAUAUCAAAUGAAAGCUCUUUGAGUCUUUUUUUCCAAUGCAAUUGGUUUCAUCCAAUUUGAACAUCGUAGUAAAAAGUUAUGCCCAAUUUACUUCAGUUUGUUAACAACAUAGGGACAACUGCGACUUUCUCUCUUUCCUUAGGGGUAUUUUAGUCAUUUUUCACCCCUAUAUAUACCAUUAAAUACGGAAUUAAGCCUCAUUUAGAGCAAAAUAUGCUCCUUUUCACCAAUUUCUCUCAAGAACAAGAAGAGGGGUUUCCAAUUGAAGAUCAAAAUCAAGGAAAUUUCACUGUUAAUUUUUACGGAUCUUCCAUCUAAGAUAUGCAUAGUGUUCAUCCAUGGAGCUCAAGAAUCAAGUUUUAAAUCAUGUAUUGUGAAUAUUUUAUUGAGGUAUGAUUAUGUUCAUGUUGAUGGUUGUGGUAUGGUUUCAAGUUGGGAUCUUUAUGUAUUUUCAUGAACCUAUGUUAGCAUGUAAGUUGAAAUCUAUGAAUUAUGUUGUUCAUGUUGUGGAUUGUGGAUAAUCAUGUUGUGGUGUUGAACGAUUCCCAAAGUUGGAAUCUUUAUGUGAUUUUAUGAAGCUAUGGUGACACAUGAGUUGAGAUCCAUGAAUUUUGUUGAUUACGAUGUAUGAAUUGGUGAAUAUAUCUAUGCCAUAAAUUGUGCAUGUAAGGUGUUUGACUAAAUGUUUAAGAGAAACAAGAAACAUGUAUUAUGAAUUAAUAUGGGCCAAAAGAUGAAUUCAUGCUAUUAACCUUAUGCUUGAAUGGUUUCCAUACAAUUGUUGUACAAUGAAUAUGUUGUUGGGAUGCCAUGAUGUUAGAGUAUGAGAUUAUGAUCUUGAUUAUAUGCUUUCCUACCAUGUACAAGAUUAUGAUAUCCAUGUACUUCAUGAAAUUUCCCAAUUAUUGUAUUAUGAAUGGUUGAUAUUGAUCAUGUAUUCAUGAAUGUCAAGAAGUGUCAGUUUCCUUCUUUCGAAUCCUGGGGGUACUUGUACCCGAAAAAUAUAGUUGUGUGCUUAGAGCCAUGUCAUGUUUCCACGAUACUCUCAGUCAAGCCAUGAUCAAUAGAAUUCAGUUAGUCUCAUGACUCAAGAAAACUCAGUAACUUCAGUAGCAGCUUAGUAAUAUCAGAAAUCUCAUGAACUUAGUCAGUUAACAGAUUCAAUAAUAUUUCGUCAGUCUACAAAACUCAGUAAAUCUCAGUUCAAUUCAGUAUGCAGCUCAGACCUCAGUAGUAUUCAGUAUUCAGCUUAGACCUCAGUAGUAUUCAGUAUUCAGCUCAAACCUUAGUAGUACUCAGUAUUCAGCUCAGAUCUCAGUAAUGUCAGUAAACUCAACCAGUUAGCAGAACUCAGUGCUCAGUUUGUUAUAAGAAUUUAAUUGUGUUUCGUCAGUGAUCGAAACUCUGUAAACUCAUUAUCGCAGUUUAGUUUUGUUAAACAGAACAAUCAGUAACAAUUCAGUUAAUCCUAGUAUGAACUAGGAAAUCAGUUUAAUAUAAUCAAUUCAGUGUCAUUCGGUUGGGAGUAAGAUUCAGCACCAAGCGAACCUAUGGAUUUUGCAAUGAGGGCAGGGUGGAUUAGUUCCUCCUUGAUUGUUGUAAUUAUUGUGUUGCAUUUGCUUCUCGUUCUUUUUGUUUCCCUUGUAUGAUUCAUUGUGCGAUUUAGCUUGAAAAACACCCUUAACAGAAUCUUCUUUCCUCAUUAUUCUUCUUUGUUCCAAUGCCUGCAAAGCAUUAACAAGUUCUACCAAGGUAAUGCUUGACAGAUCCUUAGAAUUCUCUAAAGAAGAGAUUGUGGCUUCAUAUUUUGAUACGAGUGUGAUCACGUAGAUGGAAUAUUGUGGGUGUGUAUUGAAGUCUUCCAAGUGUGUGUGCAAGAGAAGUGUAAUUAAGUACCCAAAUACACACCAAAAAUAGCCCACUACAAACACUAAAGGGGCAGCCCACUCUUGAAGGGUCAUUUUAGGUAUUUUACCUUCUAUCUUGUAAUACACUAUAAAUAUAAACUCUUAGGGUUUUUAAUCUUAGUUUUGAUGAAUAUGAAUAUUGUAUAACAUUGAAAGGCAAAGUCCUCUCUCCUUGAGGCACAAAUCUGAAAAUUUGAAACUAGGUAACAACAAAGAGGGUGCAAUCACUUUUGUUGUUUGUUUGCUUGGAAACUUAGGUCUUGAGGUUCAUGAGUUCCUCUUGGUCCAAGUAAGAACUUGAUGUUGCUAUUUAUUAGUCUUAGGGACCUUUCUCAUUGUUAGGGUUCUUAGAUUUGUGAAUAUUGUAUGUCAAGUUACUAUCCUUUAUUUUAAUUUUGUAGUACUUUUUGUAUCUUGUUAUUAUGAAUCCGAAUCUGGUGGGUUUUGUUGUCAUAUUGUUCAUCACGUUUCUGUUGUGUUGUUGGCUAUUUUGGUGUUGAAAACACACCUCUUUAUCUUGUUAUUGUGUGGUGGUAGUGAAUCUGAGAGUGGUCUCCAUCUUGGUCCUCGAAUCCUUAGAUUAGUGGACUGUUUUGGAGUGUUUACGUGUUUUCCUUGUCUUUCCUGUAUCAUUUGGUAUCAAAUUCAUAUUUGAUUUUGUUCUAACAAGAUCAAUCUUGGGCUUGAGACUUGAAAAACACACGCACACACAAAAAAAUAGAAAACUGAAAUUUCUAGAAAAUAGCAAUUUGUCCACUUUGUGUUCUUGGCCGAAAAUUGUGUUAUUGUCGUGUCUUGGCCGAGAUUUUUACUUUUCUUAAGUGUUUCUAGUGUUAGUAUUGUUCUUCACUAACACUUUGAGUCUAUAUCUUGAUUUGAGCCUUUGUUGUUGAUGUUGUUAUUGUGAACUUAGUCUUGGCUGAUUAUUGUUGGUAUUGUUAUUGUGGGUUCAAGACUUGAACGUGUGAUGUAUUGUUGGUUCAAGUUUGAACGUGUAUUGUGGGGAUUGUGUUGUGGAUUUUAAGAUUGAAAAGGUGUUGUGUUGUUUGGGAGUUCCAACUUGAACCUUAGAACUUCAAGACUCAAAGUUUAUGUUCUUGGUGUUCUUCACCAUCUCUAUAUGUUGUUGAAUAAAAAGUGGUUGUUGAUCUUAUAAGUUGAAGAAAGAGAGUGUGAAUUGAUGUUAGUCUUGCAAUAUAAAUCCAAGAUUUAAGGUGUAAGACUUGUGGCUCAAAGACUUUUCCUUCACACUCAUUACAAUCACUUCCAACAACCUUCCAUGUUUUGAGGAUCUUGUUUUAAGGAAAGUGUACAAGAAAGUCAAGUCUUCUCUUUUUGAAAUUGAAAAGGGAUUACAAAACUUAUAUUUCCCUUCUAAAACCAAGUCCACCAUUCUCAACUUACAAAUUGAUCAAGACUUCCAAUUUUGGAAAAUAAAUUGUAGAAACCGCAACCAAUACAUGGCUGCCAUGUCAUUUUUUACUGUUCACCAACAAUUUUUAAGCUCAAAUUUUGAUUUCUUAGUGUCUAAUAUUUGUUUCUUAGUUGUAAUUUGUUGAUUCUAUUACUAAUUAACAAACUAGUAAUUAUCUACUAGGUUGUAAGUUAGUUUUGGGUCCGUCUAUUCGUGUCUACUUUCUUUGUGUGCUUUUCUCUUUUGUAAAUUCAUUGUAUUUGUUGGUUCAAGUCCGAAACAAAUUUUCUUUGAGUCAACUCAAACGAAAAUCUAUUUCGAGCCAAGAUGGACUCAUCCCUCAAUCACUCAUGAAGUACAAGCCGACUUUCAACACUUGUGAAACCAAGUGUGAGGUAAAAUCGAGAGUGAGAGCGUGGUGAGGCUAAUUUAAGAUGACAAGUUGUUUGUUUGUUUAUUUUUUUGUCUUUCUUAGGUCCCAUGGAUGACGGUACUUCCAAGGUUUCCCUUGAAGAUGUCCACCAAAAUCUUGAAAGACUACGUCACAUGCUUGACUCCCCGAAUCCAAAACCAUUAAUCCAACCUCCAUUUGACCAAGGAAUAAUGUCCCGUCUUGAAACUAUCCUCCGUGAUUGUGAAAGACGAGAAAGGGAAUGAAUGCCAUACAAACCACUAUAUCAAAGGCUCCCUUGUGAUGAGAACUUGUCAAAGGUACAAGUGGGCUGCCAUGACACACAUCAAAGUGAAGACCGUAACUCAUGUGAGUUACAAGGUAAAAAUGUUAAUCCGCACACUCUUACAAACUUAGAAUAUUGUGAUGUGGCUAGUAGUAGCCAAAUGGGAGUGGUUUCGGGUUUCCAUAGAGUAGUUGUGCAUGGGUCUUCCUUUUGUGAUACUCUAGGUAUUGUUAGGAUGUAUGACAACCAAUUUCUUGUUGAAAGUAAGUAAGCAAGCACUAGUUGAUCCUUUAGAUGACAAAAUCAAUUCUUCUCGUAAGAAUGAUUUAUGUCCAUCUAGUGCUAGCACUUAUGACUUUAAUAAGGUUCCAUUGCCAUGUAAUAAGAGUAUUCACAUACUAGUUGACCCUUGUGAAAACCAAGGUGAGUCUAAGUUGGUAUGUGAGUUACCAAUAACUAGUGAGGAUGUGAAAAAUGAUCAAUCGGGUGACGAUGACUUUCACAUGCUUGAAUGUCUAGAAAAACCGAUUAGUAUUUGUUCUUAUGAAGUUGGUUUUGAUUGUGAUCCCUUUGCUGUCCAUGAUGGUUUAUGUCUAUUUAGGGACUACUCUCUUGAAAGAGAAAGUGGUGCAUGAGUAAAAAUGAUAUCUACUCCUUCUUCAUGCGUUUCCUAUGUUGAGCUUGCUAAUAACAAUGAACUUGAAAUUAGUAAGUACCUGUAUGAUGACACCAUAGUUGGAGUUGACUCAUGUGACACCAUUCCCUACCCUCUUUGUGCGCAUGAUAUUUUCUAUAGUGAUCUAGAGGGUAUGCCUAAUUUUGAGGGCGGCACCUUAGGAGAAAGUAAGUAUGGCCGAAAACCCUGUCCAUGGCUACUUCGCCCGUUUGAUCACGGUACCAUUUUAGGGUGGGAAAGGAUAACUCUCGGCUUAUUUUUCUUUUGUCUUGAUGCUUGUCCGAGCCACUUCCUUUGUAGCAUUUGUACAAAUAUUUUCAUGAUUAAAACAAAGGACUCGUGGCUGUACUUUAAAUUUGUUCCACCUAGGCAUCGCAUGUUGAUGUGUUAUUUUUUGCUAAUCCUAACCCCUCAUGUCAUGAGGAUGUGUGCUUGUUUGUUUUCUCUUUAUUUUGCAAGGUAUGAAUUUGAGGUUGAAUCCUUUUCAAGAAAGAGAGGAUGAUACGAGUGCGAUCACGUAGAUGGACUCUUGUGGGUGUGUAUUGAAAUCUUCCAAGUGUGUGUGCAAGAGAAGUGUAAUUAAGUGCCCAAAUACACACCAAAAACAGCCCACUACAAACACUAAAGGGGCAGCCCACUCUUAAAGGUUCAUUUUAGGUAUUUUACUUUCUAUCUUGUAAUACACUAUAAAUAUAAACUCUUAGGGUUUUUAAUCUUAGUUUUGAUGAAUAUGAAUAUUGUAUAACAUUGAAAGGCAAAGUCCUCUCUCCUUGAGGCACAAAUCUGAAAAUCUGAAACUAGGUAACAACAAAGAGGGUGGAAUCACUUUUGUUGUUUGUUUGCUUGGAAAACUUAGGUCUUAAGGUUCAUGAGUUCCUCUUGGUCCAAGUAAGAACUUGAUGUUUCUAUUCAUUUGUCUUAGGGUCCUUUCUCAUUGUUAGGGUUCUUAGAUUUGUGAAUAUUGUAUGUCAAGCUACUAUCCUUUAUUUUAAUCUUGUAGUACUUUUUGUAUCUUGUUAUUGUGAAUCCAAAUCUGGUGGGUUUUGUUGCCAUAUUGUUCAUCACGUUUCUGUUGUGUUGUUGGCUAUUUUGGUGUUGAAAACACACCUCUUUAUCUUGUUAUUGUGUGGUGGUAGUGAAUCCGAGAGUGGUCUCCAUCUUGGUCCUCGAAUCCUUAAGAUUAGUGGACUGUUUUGGAGUGUUUUCGUGUUUCCCUUGUCUUUCCCAUAUCAACAUUUCUCAGGAAGUGUGACAAGAAUUUUUUGAACAAUUAUUUCAUCAGUAAAAUCCUUACCAAACAAUUUCACCUUGUUGGCUAAGUCAAGUAGCUGGUCUGCAUAAUCUUUUAUAGUUUCUGAUUCUUUCAUCCUCUUCAUUUCAAAUUUCCGAAUCAGAUUCAUCACUUGCAUAUUCUGAAUUCUUUCAUUUCCUUGGUACUCCUUCUCGAGAUACUUCCAAAUUUCAGCAGCAGACUUCAUUUGCAUAAUUCUGGUAAGAAUUGGAGGAGAUACCACAGAGAAAAGGCAUGCUGUGGCUUUGACUUUCCUUGUCUUUCUCUCCUUAUGAUGUUUCAUCUGAUUCAUCGUUGGAUUAUCUCCAAGAGGAGUUACUUCAUAGUCCUCCUCAGGGGCGGUUCAAGCAUAUUAGUGGCCUAAAGCGAAAGUUAAAUGGGAGGCCUUAAACUCAACAACAACAAAAAUUAUAUACAUUUUUAUUUAAAAUCUAUUUUUCUAGCCUUUUGACAUAUUAAACUCAAACAAAUAGUUUAAACACAAUGUGCUAUCAAAUUUAAAAAUAUCAAAUAUCAAAUAUAAAAUAAUAUAAAAAAUUAGAAUGAUAUUACCCGAUUCAAGAAAUAUGAAGGCUUGAUCGAUGAUCUCAAAUAUCUUUAGCCGCUUCAAAAUGUGUUUUUUAAAUUUGAAACAUGAAUUAUAUUUUCUUCGAAGUGAAAUUAUCAAUAAAAUAAAAAUAUUAUCAACAAUGUUUAAAUUUUGAUGUUAACUUUUUGAAUCUUUGAACUUGGAAAAGGAGAAUAAAGAAGAAUAAAAGAAAGAGAGAAGAGAGAACGUGAGUAAGAGAGAAAAGUAGGCAAAAAAAAGGUAAUUAAAGAUGAAAAGGGAAGGAAACGAUUUUUAUGGAAAAAGUAAAAAUAGAUGUCAAUUGAAUAAUAAAUUACUUAUCUGUUGAUUGUAACAAAAAUCUCUUAUUUUUUAAUUUUUUUUUUCUAAUCCUAUUUUUUAGAAAAAAACCUUUUUAUAAUUUUUUUCUACACUACUAAUAUAAUAAGUGGUAGAAAAUGAGGCCCCCAUAAAUGGAGGCGUUAGGUAACCACCUAAAUUUUUUACAUUACUAGCCGAUCCUAGUCGUGCUCUACUGCUUAGAUUGAGUGCUUUAAGAUGAACUAUCAUUCUAGUUGUCCAAAUUUGAUAAUUCUCACCAUUGAAGACAGGUGGAGUUAGAAAACUUGUUUCAGAAUUUAUUUUCUAUAAAUUAUUUCAGAUAACAGUUUAAAGAAUGAUUAUAUAGAAAAAAUUUGUGUUUUUUUUAAUUUACUCUUUUCUCACAUAUCCUGCAAGAUGACAAUGCUCUUGAUACCAAUCUGUAAAAAGAAAGAACAAAAUUUAAUUUGUAUAACAAAAAAUACAGAACUUGAAUUAAGAAGAGAAAGAGCAAAAAAGCUUUGUUUUGUUUUCAUUUCUUAUUGAAAUGAUUACUGUCACAUUUAUAUAUAAAAUUACUAAAAAAAGACUUAAUUAAAGAAAUAAAAUAAACAAUCAUAUCGCUAAUAUUAUUACCUAAAAAUCAGCAACUAUUAUAAAAUCAAAUUUUACAUAAUUACAAUUUUAUUUAUCUAAACUUAAUCCUACUUUAAAGCAGCAGCUAGUACAACUGCUCUCCAGCUUUUGAGAUAUUAAUUUUAACACAAUUAUAGUCACCACAUCCCUAAAUUUACAGUCUUUCUUGAUUUUAAAAGAACCCCAUUUGAGUUAAAGUUAUAACGAUGGUUGGUUUAGGUGAUUCUUGGUAUUUUUGUAAUGGGGGUUUGCAAGUCUGAAGAAAUCUAAAGUUGCAAUCUUUCUUGAUUUUAAAAGAACCCCAUUUGAGUUAAAUGGUAUUACAAUGGUGGGUUCAGUAGAUUUGUAAUGGGGUGGGCAGUCUGAAGAAAUCUAAAGUUGCAAUCUUUCUUGAUUCUAAAAGAACCCCAUUUGAUAUAAAACUAUAGCAAUGGUGGGUUUGGCUGAUUCUUGGUGUUGUUGUAAUGGGGGUGGCAGUCAAGAGAAACUGAAAGCUACUAGCCUACUACCAUUUUGAGCUAAAGUGCAAUUUCACCUUCAAUUCUUGAUCUAAAAUUUUUACACUCUUACUUGAUUUUAAAGAACCCCAUUUGAGUUAAAGCUUUAACAAUGGUGGGUUUGGUUGAUUCUUGGUGUUUCUGUAAUGGGGGUGGCAAGUCUGAGAAAAUGAAAGCUACCAUUUUUUCAGGCAAAGGUCCUGCUAUGGCUCAUAGAGCUGUGAGUGGCACUGGUUUCUUGAUCCACAGGAAUUUGCUGCUUACUACCCAUGUAGUUCUUCCUUCUGUUGCUGCUGCUGAAGCUGCUGAGAUCCGUCUUCAAAACGGUGUUGCUGCUCGCCUUUUUCCGCAUAGGUUAGUAUUUCCUCUUAUUGACUUUUAUCUUUGCAUUCGGCUUUGCUUUACAGGGUGGAAAUUAAUAUAGAUGGUUGAUUUCAACUUAUUUGGGAUAAAGUUGUAGUUGCUGCUGCUGUUUUAUUGUAAUGUCUCUUUGUUCAGACUCCAAAGGAUGAAAAGAUUUUCCUUUAUGAAGCAAGUGAUAAAUUUCUGAGAUAAGAAAUAUUGGCGAGUUACCAUUAGAGAUUUAAUGGCAAUUAAGAAAACCAGUCCUCUAUUGUGCUUGUCAUAGUCUAUUGAACCCCUAAUUGACUUAGAAUUCUGUUAGUUUGUUGGACUAUUUUUGGUGAAAUGUUUACUCUUUGCGAGUAUGGAUUGAAUCAUUGGCCUUCCAUCAUCAACAUUGAAUGGGGAUCUGUCAGAAUCGUAUUCUCCAUUGGUGGACCUUCUCUUUUUGUGACAUUGACGCCAUUUCAAGCUUCAAUAUGAUAGUCUUUUGAAGCUCUAGAUAAUAUUUAUAUGGAUACAGGAAAGAGUUGUAUUUAGUAGUCAAAACAGAUCUUUCUUAAAACGCCAUUUCUUGUGCACCUUCCUUAUCUACCAGACUACCACGGUACCACCGUAACUGUGUGUUGUGAUAAUUAUUGAAUAGAUUGGAAUAGUCCUGACAGAGAAGCUUGAAAGGUGUAUGGCAGGCUUCAGCUGGAAAAUAUUCUUGUUAAUGAACUUUGUAAUGUCAUUCGCAAGAUUGAUUUUAGUGAAGCGGAUGGUGUUGGCACAAUCCUCAAACUAACCUUUCCACCAGUCUCUCUGUUUUUCACCUCUUACAUGGAAAAUAAUUUUUGAAAUAGGAAGCACAUCAAAGUAGCUUUGGUGGUGGCAGGUGGUCUUGUUGAUCUUGGAUUCGUACAAAAGGAUAGAGCUGCAUGCACAAGUCACGACCAUAUGCACGAUUGAGUAUGAGGUCAAGGAAGAAGCAGCUGCUAAUGUUUCAUUUGUUAGUAUCCAAUCAUUUGUGGCCAUAGUGCCAGUUGUUUCCAUGCGAAGACUGCAAUGUUCUGCCUGAUACUUAUCUCAAUUAAGAUUGUGUAGGGUGUUUAUUUGUUGAAUUGCUUAAAAAUCACACUACUUGCAGAAGCCAGAAGCUUAUAAGUACUUUAACGUAUUGAAUUGAGCUAUAGAAAUCUCUAGAAAGGAAAAAGAGUAACUCGAAAGAUUAGGUAUCUAAGUAUUCAUAUAUGUUUUACUCCCAUGAGUCAUAAGUUUUCCAGUAUUCAUAUAAGUUUGAAAGGUAUCUAAGAAUUCAAUCAUAAGAUUAGGGCCAGAGCUGAUGGAAUGGCCGAAAGAGGGCGGUAUAUAUGGAGGACUCAAUCGUUGACCCCUAACCAGUUUGAGUUGAGGUGUAGUUGAUGAUAACCAAUCACAUAACUGGUUCAGAUUGGAAUCAUUAAUAGUUUACCUAGUGGUUAAAGCAACUUAAGCAUGAUUACUGUGCAUGGAUAUCACAAUUGACCUUCCGAAACAAAAGUAGAGAUAUGUUGCAUAUCAAUUCCUGCAUUUUCCUGAUAUGAUGUAUAUAACAAGAGAGCAGGAGAACGUCGGAUAAGAUGCAACAAGGAUUAGAUCUUGUAAGCUCCCUCCUACAAGUUUUAUCUUUUUCAGAAGAUCAGGCAAGUGUGUGGGCAUUCAAUCUGUGUAAGAACUAGGAAUUUGCAGCUAUAAAAAUCCAUCUCUAGUCUCUGAUGGUAUUUUUGGAUUUAGGUAGAAAUUAAAAUGCAUGCAAUGCGUGUUGGUUUAUAUAUGUCAUUUCCUUCUUGUGUUGGUGCUCAACAGUUCUAAUCACGUUUGAAUUUGUUUGUCAGGUUACAAAAAAGGUUGCCAAUAAAUACUUGUAGGUUACAAAGGGUGCAAUAUUGAUCCAUUAAAUGUCAUUUAGCUAACAUCUUUCUGAUGUUGAGGAAAAAUGGAAUAAAACUUCUCAUGUUUAGCAGGCCAAAUAUUAAUGCGUGAUUACUUGCAUCAGAUUAGCUUUUGGAUUAUGAAGAUGAAGGUUCGAUGCCAGCUUGUGUUGAUCAAAUUGCUCGUUCAGCAUCUGAGUAUUGGUAUAUGUUUUCUUAUGGAUGUAAGUUGUGCUUGGUACACUGCAAUCGUUAUAAAUGGCUCUUGAACAGAAAAACAGAGCUGAUGUCACUGUGGCUAGAGAGAUUGGAGUCUUUAUUUAAACGGAAGGAGGACGGAUAGGAGGCUGGGGAGGAAAGUUAGGAAGGAGAAUAAUAGUUAUUGGUUAAAGAGAACAAUAGUUAUUGGUUAACUGUUCUUACCUGGUUCACCUCAUUAAAGUACAUUCCGCGUUUCUUCUCUAUUGUUUGGUGAGGAGGAACGUUGCUGUUAAGCUCUAGAUCUCCUCAUUUUUGUCGGGUUGGAUACUUAAUUUUGUUUUGCCAUCUGACUAGGGAAUGCUUGUGAAUGUUAUGCAUAAUCUUGUGGAUAUUUGUCUACCUGGUCAAGCAAAUUUUUUUCUUUUUCUUUUUUCAGGCCAUUUCAUUUUUGUGUAUAGCACAUUGUCAUUCACUUCUCAUUUCAGGUUCUUUAUAACCAGCUCCGUACUAGAUCUGACUAUAGUAGGCCUUGACGUCAUGGAUGGAGACACAAAUGCAAAUGUUCAGCAACCUCACUACCUGAAAAAUUGUUCUAAACCUAAUCUUGAGCUGGGUAAUGUUGUCUAUCUGUUAGGUUAUAGCCAAAAAAAGGAGUUGACAGUUGGCGAAGGAAAAGUGGUAACAGCCACUGACAACCUUAUAAAACUGUCAACUGAUGGAAUAACUUGAGAGGCCAGGUUCUGCUGGUUUUGAUGUUCAUGGCAAUCUAGCGUUUAUGGUGUGUGAUCCUAUGAAGCUGGCAAAAUCUCCAAACUCACAAUCCUCAUCAACUUCAACACCAGUUGGGAAGAAUGGGAAUACUCAAAUCCAGCUUUUGGAUAUUAACUUUCCACCAAGGAUCAACAUCAAAGCUGCUGGAUCACCACAGCAUGUCAGAAAGACCCUAUCCAACUCUGAUGAUAAUUGUACCAAUAAAGCGAGAGAAGAAAAUUCUAGUUACAUUGGCCAGAUAAGCGCUGUGCCAGACACUGAAGUUGCCUCUACUGGAUCUGUUAAUGGAGCACAAAGUGAGGUUGAAUCAAGUUGCUGCCUCAUAGAGGUAUUGGAAGCUCAACACGAAUACAGCAGUGAUGGAGAGACAACAAUGUACUCCGCAGAAACUGCUGAGAGCAGAAACUAUCCAAGUCCUAAAGGGGGAAGGUUUCAGCAAGUAGGAAGAAGCCAAAGUUGUGUUAACUACAAUAGAUGGGGCCCGGUUUCAAAAAAUUCAGCAGCUCGUAGGGCAAUGCAAGUACAGAAGAGGAACAAUAUGCAAGGAUGAAAGGUCUACUCCCAAGGGGCAACUUUGCAAAGGAGUAAUGACUAUUACAGCCCGACAGUAUCUUUAAUCAUGAAGAAACGCAACAACUUGGAGCCGCAAAUCAGCCCACCACGUCUAAGUGAAGGAAAUUCAUCACCAAGAUGGAUGUUCUGAUUGAUAAAUUCUGAAAAAAUCAUUCUUUAUAUGACAUUCUCCUUUUUUGGGAUUAUACUUAGACCUCCCUCAUUGCAAAGAAAUUAAAAAGAAAGCUGGAGAAAACUCGAGCAAAGGUACUUCCUGAUUUUCGAUUGUAGGUGCUACAGGUUAUUGGUCUUCCACUGGAACUUCAAUGACAUUCUGUGCACUUUAUGCUGGAGAAAGAUCCUUGAGGCAUCUUCAACAGUCCCAACAUUUUCACCAGUUAAGGUUUGGUUAGUAACUGCUGCUUAUCAUUCUGUUUACGUACAAAGCAAAAUAGAUGAAUGCAACAUAGAAUUCUAGUGUGACGGGAAGUAUCAGAUACCCCAAAGCAAAUGUUCUAUCUUGUAUUCUCUGAGGUAAAUAAUACUCUAGAAAAGUGGCUUGCUUUUUCUGAAGAUUAAAUUGACGACCUCAUUUUGAUGCAGUUCUUUUUUAUGCAGCCCAAUAAAAUUGGCUUCAUUUCCAUUUUCUUGACUCAGUAAGUUGAUUGGUAUGGAAUCAGAAUCAGAAAUAGUGUAUUGUGUCCUCUUUGAAAGGUUAGUAUGCAAGAAAUACUUGACCAAUGCCAUUGAUACAACAACAUACCAGUGUAUUCCCACCUAGUGGGGUCAAUGGAGGAUAAAUGUACACAGUCCAUACCACCACCUCCGAACAAGAAGAGAGGCUGUUUCCGAUAGACCCCCAACUCAAGACAAAAUACAGUAAAUAAAGUUGUAAUAAAGCAUGAGACAAGAUGAAAGAACAGAAAUAAGGUACCCACAAAGUAGUAUUAUGCACUAACAAACUGCAGACACCCGCCUCUCCCAACCCUCCUAACUAGAAACUCCAUCCUAUGUGCAAAGUCCUACAACCACUAGCAUAGCUACCCUAAAGCACACCUAUCUACUAGCCGCGACUCACCCACACGCACUAAUUUUCUUACCUAAUUCGCGUUCUCCGUACCUUCCGUACCUUCCUAUCUAGGGUAGGUUCAUAUCCUCAGUUAGAUACAGAAGAAAAAAUAUAGGGAGGGCCAAUUUGAAUUCCAGAAGCUUGUCUAGUAAAAACUGACAUCAUCAGAGUGUGAUCCCUUGAACGUUUACAAUAUCUUGGUGUGAAAUCUCAUUUGCUCAACCAAAACACUUACAAGAAAACAGACAAAAUCACCAGAUGGACAUGGCUAUUUGGUAACUAUGAGCUGAGACAAAGCUAUCCGGUACUUAUGAUGUAGCGGGAAGUAUCAGAUACCCCGGUGCAAAUUGAUCCAGACAUCACCUUUGCAAAAAGGUAAUUGGCCAGUGUGUGCGCGCGCUGACUAUUAUUUCAUUAGUACCUACCAACACAUGCAUCAUAUAAGUUUGCGCUGCUACAGUUCAUCUAAAUGGGAAAAAAUCACAUCGCUACAAUUUAGAUAGAUGAAAAGAAAUCAAAUAGCUCGCGCGAGUACUCCAAUAGUCAAUACCAAAACGUUUAAUAUAGCUUUAGGCCAUACCGUAUUCUAUGAACCAUAGCUGAAAUCACGGUAAAUUUGUAAAAGGACCUGAACAUUUAUGUGACAACCACUCAAAAAUUGAUCAAACAUUAUAAAUGUUAUAUAAUAUGAAUGACAAGUGACAUAUAGGUGUAAAAUAUCGAUAAUAGUUAGUAGUCAAAUUGAAUUUGAACACCAAUAGUUACUUGUUCAAUUUGAAUUUGAAUACCUAAAGUAGUUGGCCAAAUCUCUAACUUGAAGUUACUUGUUCAAUUUGAAUUUGAAUUUGAAUACCUAAGAAAGUUGACCAAGUUGUUAACUUGAUGUCACGCUCGACAAUUUUAGGGAGUAAGUUUGGUGGGUGCAAUAGACCUCUCAAUCUGACCUGCCUUCUUUAUGGGAAAUCUCCUACUUCCCAAAACUCCUGUAUGAGGACGUCUGAUCCUCAUGAAAGUGAAGCCUCUUAAUUGGAUUGCUAUGGAGAUCCCAAGCUUCAAGCUCAUCAGAAAUAUUGCUGAGUGUGUAAAAUAGUUUUUUUCUAUUGUGAUAAACAAUUUGAAAGGAUUGUUUAAAGGGUGAAUCGAGGAGAAUCCAGCAAGAAUUUGGAUGACCAUGUCGUAUUCUGCAGAAGGCGAGUUUAGAAAGUGACCACGGCUAUGCAGUCAUCAUCCAUAGGAGAUGACGAGAGAACAACAUCUUUGAUGAUGCGUUCGGAAAACAUUUGGGGGAAAUGGGUCUCCCGCUGGCUGUAUAGUAUGGAAUAUAGCUCUCGACCGAACCAGAAAGGCUGUUCCAGAUGACGCCUUUUAAAAAAGGAAGGGUUUCAACGGAUGGAAGAAUGAUUUUUUUGCUAGACACGGGCGGCUCAACGUUGACGGGGCCUAAAGCGAGACUUCAGUGAGAGGUCUAUCCUUUGGAAAAUCUAGGUCGGUAAUUCUAAUUGAUCUCUUUUCUACUAAUAAAUUUCUCAACAUUGUAUUGAUUUUAGUCCAUUGACUAGGAUCAUAUACAUUUUUGGAAAUGCAACUAUUUAACUCAUUCAAAAGUUCUUUAUUUUCUUGAGAAUCUUCAUCAGAAUCGGAUUUCUCAACAAUUUCUUCUUCUUCAACUUUAUUACCAUAUAACACAACAAAGUUACUGACUUGUUCAUUUAGAGAAUCCUCUUCUAUAUUUUUUGAUUUAUGUUUUUUAUUGUUUGUAACUAUUUAACUUGCUCCUUUUGAGAUGCUAUUAGAUUAUCGAUUUCUCUCCCCCUUUUGAGUUUUGAAUGACCGGAUUCAUAUUUUUUAGUUGACAUAUUUAAAUUUUAAACAAAAUAAUUAAAACUACCUACAAUACAAAUAACAAAAAUAAAAUAAAAUUUAAAAAUAAAACUAAAAUAUGAAAUGAUAAAACCUUAUUAGAAAUUUGAAGAAUAGAUUUCACGAUAUGUUGUGACUGCUUUGAUAUACUUCUUUCGAAACUUGAAAUGUGAGAAAGAGCAACAAGUGAUUUUUUUUAAAUCAAUACAUAACAAUAUUUUUUAACUCUUGUUAUUUCUUCUGCAUGAGUAGCAGCUAUUUCUUCUGUAUACUAAGUAGCAGUAGCAAAAGUACUACUGCCUCCGUUUGGACGAGAAUGGCAUGGGAUCAAUGAAGAGGAGUUCAUCAUUGAGGGACGAAAACCAAUUGAUCUCGCCAUGCAUGAGUUCUUAGGGGAGCAAACACCAACUGAUCUCUCAAAAGAUGACUUCUGUGCGAGGUAGCUCAAGGUUAAGGCUAGUAAAACGUUUGUUUUAGGCCCCUAAAAUUUUGAGGUCCCAAAAAAUUUAAUAUGAAUUUUAUGAUUUUAAUUUCACUUCAAAUAAUAUUAAAGAUUGAAAAAUAUAAAAGGUAUAAAAUUUAAAUCAAUGAAAAAAAAGAAGAACUUUCUAUUGUUUAUUAAAAAUAUUUUAGAACUUUUUAUCAAAUCUUAUUAAUAAAUGAAGUUUUUACAAUAAUAUUCAAGGUAACGCAUUGCAAAUAAUAUGACUAAUAUCUUAUUAAUUAUAAUUAGUCUUUACUUUUAUAAAUAAUAAUAUUAUUAUGUUCUAAGAAUACUACAUUAAAAAAAAUAAUACGUAAGAAUAAAAAAAUAACUCUAAAUUAUUGAUAAUAAUUUUGUACGUAUAUUUAAAGCCUCAUAUUAAAAUUUGGCUUUAGGCCACUUAUUGAGACACCUGCUUCUUUGAAGAGCCAAACCCAACCCUUUCUUUUUAAAAAUUAAAAAAGAAAUUAAAAAUUAAAACUAAAACUGUUGAAAUAGUCUUUUUUUCUUUUCUUUUUUUAAAUGUCAACUAAUUUAGGUUACUUGCAUUGCAAGUGUAUAAUGCAAGUGUAUUUUCUAUGAGUAAAAUAAAAUUACAUAUAAAAACAAUAAGUAAUACAUUAUAUUGCUAUUGAAUAAAAAAAAUUACAUAUAAAAAGAAUAAAUAGUACAUUAUAUUGCUAUUGAAGUUGCAAUAUAUGAUAUUCAUCAUUUAAAAGGCAAAAAUGCAUGUUAUUUAAUUUUAGUAUAUAUAUAUUGCACUUGUAUGUCACGUCAAUUAAUUAGCAUCUCCAUUAUAAAUUAGACAUAUGAAUAAAAAAAAAAAGAAUAUACUGAAACGGAGAACAUGAAGCUUAUAACAAAUUAAUUUCACACAAACUAAAUUUAUAUUUAUGUCAACCAUAAAUCAAAGCACAAAUAAUUAUGACUGCAUUUGUUGAUUUUAUUCUUUUUGCUUUUAUUAUACUGUCAAGAUUUAUCUUGUAUUUUUGGAUCGUGACAUGAACUAUCUUACAAUCACACGACCCAACAUCUCCACAUUCAUUGUCACAACAAUUGAAUGCAAUUCAACUAUUUUUGGAUCGUGACACGAACUAGCAAUUCACCUAUUUUUGGAUCGUGACACGAACUAUCUUACAAUCACACGACCCAACAUCUCCACAUUCAUUGUCACAACAAUUGAAUUCAAUUCAGCAAUUCAAUUGCUUGAUUCGAAAAUACAAUUCAACUCUCUAAAUAUUAAUGAUACUAAAUAAUGUAAGAUGAGAGUAAUUUGUUUUCACACAUUUUUAUGAUGAAUCUUUUUUUAAAAAAUAAAAUUAUCAACAUUUUAUAGAAUUUAAGACAAAAUAAGUAAUUUAAUAUGAAAUAUUAAGCGAAACAAACUAAGAGAAUUUAGGACUAAACAAAUAAUUUAACAUGAAAUAUUAAGCUAAACAAACUGAAAAUAUUUUUGUAAAUAAACUAAGAAUAUUUUUAUAAAUAAACUAUCUACUAAUUUAAAUAUAACUAAUCUCAAUAUAACUUAUUUCCUAACCAAACUAUCCCUAAAAGUCGACAUCAACAUCCGGGAUGAACCAAGUAUGAGACGGAAAAGGUAUCUGGUCGAUAACUCUAUCGUUGGCAUAGUUACAAAUGCCCAUAUCAUGGCCUCCAAAAUUGUACUUCCAUUUAUAUCUGCCAUCAGCAAAGUAAAUAGAGCCGGACCUCAAUUCAGGAAAUUGUGUGGUUGACAGAGCAAAAGCCCGUCUUUCGUCAAGGAAGAUUGCACGAUCUCCAAUAUCUUCCAAUAAUUGAAGCUUGACAAGAUGAUGAUCGUUUAUGAAAUCAAACUUGAAUACAUCAAAACCUAGUGUCUUGUAGGGAAGCGAAUCAGGGCGUAUGUGUGGCACGCAGUGAACAACCUGCCCAAGGCUUGUUAAAACAAAAUGGAUAACAAGAAAAAGCUCUUGGCUUUGGUGGUCAUACACCAAGUAUGACUUAUCCCCCCAAUAAAUCGGUACAAUAGACCUCUUAAACCGACCUACCUUCUUUAGGGGAAAUCUCCUGCUUCCCAGAACCCCUGUCUGAUCCUC